UCAGGACAGGAAAACAGCAGCCCUGA
rnacentral:SRP_RNA from 1 species